UGAGGAAUAUUGCACAAUGGGCGAAAGCCUGAUGCAGCGACGCCGCGUGAGCGAAGAAGUAUUUCGGUAUGUAAAGCUCUAUCAGCAGGGAAGAAAAUGACGGUACCUGACUAAGAAGCAUCGGCUAACUCCGUGCCAGCAGCCGCGGUAAUACGUAGGGGGCAAGGCGUUAUCCGGAUUUACUGGGUGUAAAGGGAGCGUAGACGGAGCAGCAAGUCUGAUGUGAAAGGCAGGGGCUCAACCCCUGGACUGCAUUGGAAACUGUUGGUCUUGAGUACCGGAGGGGUAAGCGGAAUCCUAGUGUAGCGGUGAAAUGCGUAGAUAUUAGGAGGAACACCAGUGGCGAAGACGGCUUACUGGACGGUAACUGACGUUGAGGCUCGAAAGCGUGGGGAGCAAACAGGAUUAGAUACCC
rnacentral:rRNA from 1 species